rnacentral:rRNA from 1 species
GACGAACGCUGGCGGCGUGCCUAAUACAUGCAAGUCGAACGCAGUGGGGACGGGUGAGUAACACGUGGGUAACCUCCCAUCAGAGGGGAUAACACUUGGAAACAGGUGCUAAACCGCUACUGAUGGAUGAACCCGGUGUGCAUUAGCUAGUGGGUGGGGUAACGGCUCACCAAGGCCACGAUGCAUAGCCGGCCUGAGAGGGUGAUCGGCCACACUGGGACUGAGACACGGCCCAGACUCCUACGGGAGGCAGCAGUGGGGAAUCUUGGACAAUGGACGAAAGUCUGACGGAGCAACGCCGCGUGAGUGAAGAAGGUUUUCGGAUCGUAAAGCUCUGUUGUUAGAGAAGCGGUAUCUAACCAAGAAGCCACGGCUAACUACGUGCCAGCAGCCGCGGUAAUAC